UUCUAUGGAGAAACAACUUAGAGGCAUUGGAAACCUGGGGGUGCUCUGACUGGGAGGCAGACCUAGGAGCAUGAGUUGCCAGGUCGACAAACGUUCCCUCUCCUACCGAUCAUGUGGGAGAGUGAAUCCUUGUGUAUACGAUUGUGGAUUGUGGAAGUUAUUCUUUGUUAUUUACCUUGCUACUCUCUUAAAUGCCUUGGAUUUGAGAGUGCUGAACGGGCAAUUUUAAAAACAACAUACUGAUCUGGACUUUGUGAUUCAAGUCAUGUGGAGAGCUCCUAAUGUGGAAAUCCCUCCAUGGAUCCAGGAGUCUUCAGAGAGGCCUCAUACCAGCUUCCAGCUCAGGAGAGAGGCCCACACCACGGAGCUCCUGGAUUUGGGUUACAUCAGGUUCCCCUUCCUGUCUGCCCUGAGGAUGCCUGAGAUGUUCAUUUUGGUUUUGUACAAAUAAUAAUUACAGUCAGUUAAGUCAACUACAUUUCCCCCCAAUUACCAUGCAGCAUAGUAACAUUAUACAUGUCAUUAAAUCUGUGCCAUGAGUUCUACUAAACAUUUUAUUGUAUUAUAACACUAAACUCCA